rnacentral:rRNA from 1 species
AGAGUUUGAUCCUGGCUCAGGACUAACGCUAACGGUGUGCUUAAUACAUGCAAGUCGAACGAGCAAUGCGAGAGUGGCAACACUCCUGCAAAGCUAGUGGCGAACGGGUGAGUAACGCGUAGGUAAUCUACCUUAAAGAUUAGGAUAACCUUCCGAAAGGAAGGCUAAUACUAAAUAUUUUAUAUUUUUCGUAUGAUUAAUAUAACAAAGGUAGCCGCAAGGCCUCCGCUUUAAGAUGAACCUGCGUCCUAUUAGCUUGUUGGUAAGGUAAUGGCUUACCAAGGCUAUGAUGGGUAGCCGGCCUGAGAGGGUGAUCGGCCACACUGGGACUGAGAUACGGCCCAGACUCCUAUGGGAGGCAGCAGUAGGGAAUAUUGCGCAAUGGGCGAAAGCCUGACGCAGCGACACCGUGUGAAGGAUGAAGGUCUUCGGAUCGUAAACUUCUGUCAAUCGGGGACGAAGGUAAUAAGGUUAAUAGCCUUUAUUAUUGACGGUACCCAAUAAGGAAGUCUCGGCUAACUCCGUGCCAGCAGCCGCGGUAAGACGGAGGAGGCAAGCGUUGUCCGGAAUCAUUGGGCGUAAAGAGCGCGUAGGCGGUUUUUUAAGUCAUAUGUGAAAACUUCAGGCUUAACCUGAAGAUUGCAUAUGAAACUGGAUAACUUGAGUACAGCAGAGGAAAGUGGAAUUCCUGGUGUAGCGGUGAAAUGUGCAGAUAUCAGGAAGAACACCAGUAGCGAAGGCGGCUUUCUGGGCUGUUACUGACGCUGAGGCGCGAAAGCUAGGGGAGCGAACAGGAUUAGAUACCCUGGUAGUCCUAGCCGUAAACGAUGGACACUAGGUGUGGGAAGUUAUCGACGCUUUCUGUGCCGAAGCUAACGCAUUAAGUGUCCCGCCUGGGGAGUACGGCCGCAAGGCUA